ACCUGGUUGAUCCUGCCAGUAGCAUAUGCUUGACUUGAAGAUUAAGCCAUGCAUGUCUAAGUAUAAGUUAUAUAUUGCAAAACUGCGAAUGGCUCAUUAAAACAGUUAUAAUUUAUUUGAUGAUUUUUUUACAUGGAUAACCGUGGGAAACUAGGGCUAAUACAUGCAUAAAAGCCGAAAGGCCGUAUUUAUUAGUUUCACACCAAUAUAGCUCAGCUAUUUUGUGAGGAAUCAUAAUAACUUUUCAAAGCGCAGCAAUGCGCUACUUCAUUCAAGUUUCUGCCCUAUCAGCUCUCGAUGGUAGUAUUGGACUACCAUGGCUAUAACGGGUAACGGAGAAUUGGGGUUCGAUUCCGGAGAGGGAGCCUGAGAAACGGCUACCAUUUCUAAGGAAGGCAGCAGGCGCGUAAAUUACCCAAUCCUAAUUCAGGGAGGUAGUUAAUAGAAAUAAUAGGUUCGGCUCUUUGAGCUCUGAACAUAUAAUGAGAUAAAUUUAAAAUACUUUUUGAAUCCUAUUGGAGGGCAAGUCUGGUGCCAGCAGCCGCGGUAAUUCCAGCUCCAAUAGCGUAUAUUAAAGUUGUUGCAGUUAAAAAGCUCGUAGUUGAAAUUCCGGCGUUUUUGCCCUGCUGUCUGGAAAGGCUAGCGAUACCGUAAAAAGUUUUGCUUGUUUGAACAGACUUUUACUGUGAACAAAUUAAAGUGCUUAAAGCAGGCUUUUGCUUGAAUAGUCUAGCAUGGAAUAAUAAAAUAUGACUUUAUUCAUUUUAUUGGUUCUUGGAUAAAGUAAUGGUUAACAGGAACAGUUGGGGGCAUUUGUAUUUAGUGGUCAGCGGUGAAAUGCAUAAAUCCACUAAAGACAAACUAAUGCGAAAGCAUUUGCCAAGGAUGUUUUCAUUAAUCAAGAACGAAAGUUAGGGGAUCAAAGACGAUUAGAUACCGUCGUAGUCCUAACUAUAAACUAUACCGACUAGGGAUUGGUGAGGUAAACCCUCAUCAGCACCUAAUGAGAAAUCAAAGUCUUUGGGUUCUUGGGGGAGUAUGGUCGCAAGGCUGAAACUUAAAGGAAUUGACGGAAGGGCACUACCAGGAGUGGAGUCUGCGGCUUAAUUUGAUUCAACACGGGAAAACUUACCAGGGCAAGAGACAGAAGUGAUUGACAGCUUGAUAGCGCUUUCUUGAUUUUGUUGCAAGUGGUGCAUGGCCGUUCUUAGUUGGUGGAGUGAUUUGUCCGGUUAAUUCCCUUAACGAACGAGACCUUAACCUGCUAAAUAGAAGUAGUUAAUACCUAGCUAUAUUCUUCUUAGAGGGACUACUGGUGUUAAACCAGUGGAAGUUUGAGGCAAUAACCAGGUCCGUGAUGCCCUUAGAUGUUCUGGGCCGCACGCGUACUACAAUAAUAAAUGCAAUAAGUUGACCUAAUCCGAAGGGAUCUGGGUAAUCUUCAUAAAGUUUAUUUUGCUUGGGAUUGGGCCUUGUAAUUAUUGCCCAUGAACGAGGAACUCCUAGUAAGUAUGGGUCAUCAACCCAUGCUGAUUACGUCCCUGCCCUUUGUACACACCGCCCGUCGCUCCUACCGAUUCGAGUGGUUCGGCGAAUUCUCCGGAUUGAGCUAAAUUAUUUAGCUUAAAAAGUUGUGUAAGCCAUGUCACUUAGAGGAAGGAUAAGGCGUAACAAGGUUUCCGUAGGUGAACCUGCAGAAGGAUCA
rnacentral:rRNA from 1 species